GUCUGCAGCCAUACCACCCUGAACACGCCCCAUCUCGUCUGAUCUCAGAAGCUAAGCAGGGUCGGGCCUGGUCGAGAACCAGCUCUCCCUGCCAGUCU
rnacentral:rRNA from 1 species